ensembl:lncRNA
CCAUAGGCCCUCGGUGUGCCAACACGGGCCGCGCAGUCAGACGCGAGGACGCAACAAACUCUCAAACAUCACGAUGGGGCCGUAGCUCGGCUCGCUCUGCAGACUUCCCCUCCGUCCUUCUCUCGCCAAGUCAUUCCUGACUCUGCCGGUCUGCCCCCCCCCCCCCCCACACACCAAUACCCAUCAUGCAUCUGUCAAACGCUGUCUGGCUGCUGCUGCGGAGCUGUGGGAUGAACACGCCAGAGGAGCUGCUUUUGUUGUAAAAUGAGAUGAGCCUCCUAAAGACUCUUCUGGCUCCCAAAAUGUGUCCUCGUAGAAGAAAGUCGUCCAUCAUUGUCUUUGGCUCGAGUCAAAGAAGAGUGAAGGUGUAUUUCUGAGUACAAAUCAGUACUUAAGAGCAGCCAUGUGAUCACAUUACAGGUGAUUAUCUAGUGAGUGAAAAUAAAAAUGGUUUCGCAUCAAAGUGCCACUUGACACAGGAAUCAAUAGAACUAUGCGACUCGUGUCUCCUCACUUCCCUCCUGACGGACGGACAGCAGAGCGUCCUCCUGAUCAAUGACCACGAUACACAAGCAGCAACAAGGAGCAGGUCUUUACUAGCAUGAUGUUUGCAUGAUGUUUGCAUGAUGUUUGCCUUGAAGCCACGAGGACUUUUUGGUAUCUGACAUGUGAGCUUCUGUAGGAGGGUUAAUGUGUCCGUCAUCAGGGGGCAGCACGUCCGUUAAUUCAUGAGAAAUGGAGCCCCCCCCCCAAGUAAUAGACACUGGCCCUUUAAGAACUGCUGUAACUCCUCCACAUCAAUCCCACGCACACACACACAAACACACACACACACACACACACACACACACACACACACACACAGGGUAAUUAAAGCUGCUCGGAGUGGAGGGAUAACGGCUGAUAGACGUGCACGGGUUGUGUGUGUGCACAGGUUGUGUGUGUGUGUUUGUGCACGGGUUGUGGUUGUGUGUGUGUGCACGGGUUGUGUGUGUGUGUGCACAGGUUGUGUGUGUGUGCACGGGUUGUGUGUGUGUGCGCACGGGUUGUGUGUGUGUGCGCACGGGUUGUGUGUGUGUGUGCACAGGUUGUGGUUGUGUGUGUGCACGGGUUGUAUGUGUGUGUGCACGGGUUGUGUGUGUGUGUGCACGGGUUGUGUGUGUGUGUGCACGGCUUGUAUGUGUGUGUGCACGGGUUGUGUGUGUGUGUGCACAGGUUGUGUGUGUGUGCACGGGUUGUGUGUGUGUGUGCACGGCUUGUAUGUGUGUGUGCACAGGUUGUGUGUGUGGUGCACGGGUGUGUGUGUGUGUGCACGGCUUGUAUGUGUGUGUGCACGGGUUGUAUGUGUGUGUGCACGGGUUGUAUGUGUGUGUGCACGGGUUGUAUGUGUGUGUGCACGGGUUGUGUGUGUGUGUGCACGGGUUGUAUGUGUGUGUGCACGGGUUGUGUAAGGACUCGUGGUAAUUUAUGCUGCUACGUUGUGAGUCAGCCAGCCGGAGGAAGCCCGGCCGGAGGAGAAACAUGCCUGGAAUCUGAGAAGAAGGCUCGGCGGCGUCUCCAGGUGGAGGCAGGGCGGGUGAAUUACUUAUAGCAAAAAAAAGGUAGUGAAAUGGAUGGGGGGCUGAGGGG